rnacentral:rRNA from 1 species
UGAGGAAUAUUGGUCAAUGGACGAGAGUCUGAACCAGCCAAGUAGCGUGCAGGAUGACGGCCCUAUGGGUUGUAAACUGCUUUUGUUUGGGAAUAAUCGACAUUACGUGUAAUGUUUUGCAUGUACCAUUCGAAUAAGGACCGGCUAAUUACGUGCCAGCAGCCGCGGUAAUACGUAAGGUCCGAGCGUUGUCCGGAAUCAUUGGGCGUAAAGGGUACGUAGGCGGAUAAGCAAGUUAGAAGUGAAAUCCUAUAGCUCAACUAUAGUAAGCUUUUAAAACUGCUCAUCUUGAGGUAUGGAAGGGAAAGUGGAAUUCCUAGUGUAGCGGUGAAAUGCGCAGAUAUUAGGAGGAAUACCGGUGGCGAAGGCGACUUUCUGGCCAUAAACUGACGCUGAGGUACGAAAGCGUGGGUAGCAAACAGG